rnacentral:rRNA from 1 species
AUGUGGCCAUGCAGGCUCGUUGGCCAUGGCUCAAAAGGACUGAUGAGACGACAAUGGAAUGAAUUCAAAAUCAAGGUUGCUGAAGAAGCAAGGAUGUUUUGUCAGGCAACCAUGCGGUCUACUGCACAUUUUGGCCGGACAAUGUUGUUUUGGGAGGACCGAUGGUUAGAUGGGCGAAGAGUUCAGGAGAUUGCGUCGCGGGUUUACGAGCUGGUUACACCACGGGCUCGAGGGACGAGGUUGGUCAGUGCAACUAUGGAGAACGGGUCUUGGGCAAUAGAUCUACGCCCCAACUUUGGACCAGAUACGUUGCAAGAGUUUCUAUCACUAUGGCAAACAGUUAAUGCUUGGGAGGCCACUGAGGAUUUGCCGGAUGGUGUAGCCUGGUCUUGGGAGGCAAAUGGGCAAUUCUCGGUCAUAUCAGCGUAUGCGGCUGGUUUUUGGGGAAGGGAGGUCAUUUCUACAGCGGAUCUGACAUGGAAGUCACGUGCCCCACUGCAGUGCAGAUUCUUUACUUGGCUGGCAAUGAAGGACCGAUGCUGGACCUCGGAUCGUCUUGCGCGAAGAGGUCUACCUCACCAGGAUGCAUGCCCGUUCUACGAUCAAGAGGAAGAAACGACCAACCAUAUACUGCUCACGUGUGUAUUUGCUCGGACUACUUGGGCGGCAUUUGCGACUCGCUGGGCAAACCAGAAUGGACCCCCUUUCCCCAAGACGUACUGGCCGAGUGGGCCGUUGAUAAGAGGGAAGCAAACAAUUUGA